AAUUAUAGAAGAAAUUGUGGAAAGGAGAGGACAAAGCAUUGAGGAAGUUCCAUGAGAUCAAGGACUAACAGUGGAGAGGAUGGAGAGGAGCGAGGCGAGGAAGCUAACCCGGAGCAAGGAUGGCUUGAGAACAAGGGAACUGAGGCAGUCAAACAGCAGAAGUAAUUCAGGAUGUGGGCUGAAGAGCAGAGAUACUACAGGAGAGACUGCAAACCAAGAGAAGCACACAGAGGAUUCAGAGUUGAAAACUGAACCCAGGCAGAGCUCCCAGAUACUGGAGGCUUGCAGGAAGCAGAUCUGGCUAGGAGAGGAGGCUCUGCUUACACUACUAUUAUUUAAAAGUGCUGGAUGGCAGGGGACAUCAGGAAUGCCCUAGAGAUGCCCUGUUACAAGAAGCCCAGGGAAUCCACCCUGAGAAUACUUAACACGAGCCACACCAUCCAAAAGAAGGGCUUCUAUAAAGGUCUGGAAGCAUCUCUGAAAAUUUUACUUGCUUCCUUUUUUACUUACUUUCCUUCCUACUUUGCCAUCUCGGAAGACUGCCUCACAGCUGGAAAUCAGGAUAUUCCUGGGAGCUGAAUGGGAAAGAUCAUUUAUAUAUUCUUUUUUUUUUCUUCAAAUGUUGUACCACUCCAUAAUGGCAAGCCUGUUGAAGAUCCACAGCAAACAGAUAAAGUGAAGGAUUUAGUAGAAACUUGGAAGAGCAAGACUCUUUUUGCAUUAGACGGGAGGAUGCUGAGUACCUGGGAGAAGUGAAUUGAUGCCCCUGGAAAUCUGACCAGGUGAGAUUGGAGGAGAGGUUACCCAAGACCAGAACCUUUCACUCUGCUUCCAGAUAGCCUUCAUUUUGCUCUUUUAACCAUUCCCCAGAGCCACUUCUAGUGCUUUCCCCUCCGUUUCUCAUCCCUAUUUUCUCUUUCUUCUUUCCCCAACCUAUCCACCGUCUGGUUAUAAUGUUUAUAAUUUUGAAAUUCCUAGUUCACAGAAUUCUAAUUCCAACA